GACGAACGCUGGCGGCGUGCUUAACACAUGCAAGUCGAACGGAAAGGCCCUGCUUUUGUGGGGUGCUCGAGUGGCGAACGGGUGAGUAACACGUGAGUAACCUGCCCUUGACUUUGGGAUAACUUCAGGAAACUGGGGCUAAUACCGGAUAGGAGCUCCUGCUGCAUGGUGAGGGUUGGAAAGUUUCGGCGGUUGGGGAUGGACUGGCGGCUUAUCAGCUUGUUGGUGGGGUAGUGGCUUACCAAGGCUUUGACGGGUAGCCGGCAUGAGAGGGUGAACGGCGACAUUGGGACUGCGAUACGGACCAGACGCCUACGGGAGGCAGCAGUGGGGAAUAUUGCACAAUGGGCGGAAGCCUGAUGCGGCAACGCCGCGGGCGGGAUGACGGCCUGCGGGGUGUAAACCGCUUUCGCCUGUGACGAAGCGUGAGUGACGGUAAUGGGUAAAGAAGCACCGGCUAACUACGUG
rnacentral:rRNA from 1 species